UACGGAGGGGGCUAGCGUUGUUCGGAAUUACUGGGCGUAAAGCGCACGUAGGCGGCUUUGUAAGUUAGAGGUGAAAGCCCAGAGCUCAACUCUGGAACUGCCUUUAAGACUGCAUCGCUUGAAUCAUGGAGAGGUCAGUGGAAUUCCGAGUGUAGAGGUGAAAUUCGUAGAUAUUCGGAAGAACACCAGUGGCGAAGGCGACUUACUGGACACAUAUUGACGCUGAGGUGCGAAAGCGUGGGGAGCAAACAGG
rnacentral:rRNA from 1 species